UGCGCUUCUGGGUCCGGUCCCCCUAAAUUCUGAUUCCGGUUUAGCCCAUUGGCCACUUCUAUCUUGUACUUACUAUCAAAAGUAGAUUCUAGUGAACUUAUUUGACUAAUUGUGCUUUCAAGAUCUUGACUGAGAAAUUGAACGCUUGCAUUUGAUUUAGCUUUUGCCACAAUUGUUAUAGAAAUUUUACCAAAGAAUUUGAAGUGCUGCUCAAGUAGUCCCCACCAGAAGUUGCAAUGCCAAAUGCAUUCACACGGUGCAGAAGAAAGUUAUUAUUAUAUAUAAAAAAAAAAAAUUAAAUGCUAAUUGGUAUGGUAUAAGGUAGGGUUAAACUUGUAUCACACAAAUUCUAAAUAAAACAUUGGAAAAAUCAUUGGAAGUAGUAUUCUCUCCAUAUCAUAAAAAAUGAUUGAUUACAUAAUAAUGUUUAUGGAUACUGGAUGGUAAGAAAACCAUUAGUUCUUCAUUCAAUUAAACUCUUGUUUUGUUUAUAGAAUAGUAAGGGAAUGGAAUGACUAUUCCAUAGUGAAUAUUCAUUCUCAACUUUGGUUCAAAUUUAAACGCGGAAUAGUUGUUCUCUAUAUCUAACUACUCCAUAAUCUCAACUUUGGUUAAAACACAUUAGUGAAAAAAAUAAUCAUUUUACAACCUAUGGAAUAGGAAUGGAUAUAUUCGAUUUUGUCAACCAAAUGAAGUAUAAAUCCUUAUGCAAGUUGAACUCCAAAAUGGGACAACAAAUAAUUUGCUGAAUUCAAAACAUAAAAUUCUAUAUACUGGAGCUAAUUGAGUUAUUAUUCUUGGCUUAUCCUGUUAUCCUAAAAUUUAAGAUAUACUAACCCUUUUUAUGCUUCUUGGUUUUCAGCUUACCGAAAACUUGCUAGGAG
rnacentral:misc_RNA from 1 species